UACCUCAAAAAACCACAACAGUCUGUUUCAUCCAUAUAGGAAUCAUCAGGUGGUCUGAUGAUUCCUAUACGGAUGAUGAUACCACCUGAUGAUUCCUAUAUGGAUAAAACAGACUGUUGUGGUUUUU
rnacentral:miRNA from 1 species